AUCACUCUUUGUCAUUCUCGCUCUUAUCCCCAAAUUCUUCUUCUUCUUAAAUUCUAUGAAUUCUUCAUCCUCCAUCUUCGUCGCUCGUCCAGAUCCCCUAAACCAUAGCAUUUGAUUUCGUUGGCCAGAAACCCCAAAACAUCUUUGUCGCAGGAGUGGAGUGGUUUAUGUUCUGAUGAUGCUUUUCAUGCCCUCCAGAGGUUAAUUAACAACAUCAAGACUGUGAAAAAGAUUUUGGACAUGAAGGUGUAGAAGUCAUACUAUUGAUGAGCCUAACGAUAAGCUCUUAGUCUGAAGCAAGAUAAUGUUAGGUAGCUUAAGUUGAAAUUUAUGGUUGUGUGACACAAAUAAAGUUAUUUCGGUUUGGUUUUGAAACUAAUGUAGUCAAACUAGAGUUCUUAUUUAAUUGUAUUAUUCUUCAUUAAUU